CAGAUGCUGCGGUGGCCCGCUGGGGCCAUACCAGGCAUCGUUCGAGACAUUGGCGAUCCAC
rnacentral:tRNA from 1 species